CAUAUUCUUGAGCAGCAAAUUCGAUGGCUAAAAGUCCAUUAGUAAAGGCAAGGAAAAGAAAGAGUAGACCAUGUCCAAUGUCCAUCGUGCUAUAGAGUUGAUAGGAUGAGAUUCCUCCGGCGAGCAGAGAAAAGGUCGAAACAAAUGCAUCCAUGGUAGGGUAAUAGAAAGGGAUAUAAAACAUGACAGGUAAUAUGAUCAAUGAUAUUACAAAUCUGAGAUAUUUUAGUACCGGCGUUACUGUUGGAUCCGGAUAGUCGUCCAAGAGUAAACACUUGAAAAGCAUCACUAGGAACAAGAUCAUGACGCCAAAUCUUAUCGGAGAAAACAAAACCUGAUCACUUCCGGAUCUCAACAAGCCAAAGAUCGAGAGAGUUAACAACGUAUGCCAAAUCCCACGAGUGAAUACACGAAAACCCUUGAAUCUCUCUUUCUCCAAAUGUUCCCACAACAUCGUCGUUAAACAAGGGUGUGGAGAUCUACAUGAAUAUAUAUCAAAUCUUUUUAUCUCCUUUAUUUUUUCCCUUCGAUCAACUCCAACGGCGGUUGUUAGCAAGAAUGUUAAAGAAAUGGUUGAGGCCCUCAUUCCAUCUUCUACUGCUGUGGAGUCUACUGUCUUUUUCUACAACAUGAAAGGAGAUUAUUACCUUUAUUUGGCAGAGUUCAGUUCUGGUGCUGAACGCAAGGAAGCUGCAGAUCAGUCUCUUGAAGCAUAUAAAAUGUCCUUUGAUCACAUUUCUUUCUAUUCUCUCUUGUGCCUUCCCUCUUAUAUGUGAGCCCGGAAACCCCUAACAAGAAACCUCCUUAUUCGUACUGGCUAUGUAGGCUGCUGCAGAGACUGGUUUGGCACCCACACAUUCAGUUAGACUUAGCUUGGCAUUAAACUUUUCGGGUUUCUACUAUGAGAUCUUAAACUCUCCUGAAAGAUUUGUUUUAUCCGCUUAUUCAUGGAUAGAACAUGCAAUGGAAUCAAUGGUCACUUUCUAACAGUCUGAAACUAUGUGAUAUUAAUUGUUGUGCUUAGAAGGGCAAUGAGAGGAUGUUUGAGAGUUAGAUGGAAAAUGGCUUUGGUUUGUUUGAUUGUUGCUUGU